GUAUUAUUUGUGCUUCUAUUUCAUAAAAUUAGUCAUACUUAACCUAGUUAUGAUGUGGAUUGUUGAGGGGCAUUCAAAUACUUAGUCCUUGCAGUGUGUCUGCCUAUUUAUAAAAUGUCUUGGAAGUUUGCAGAAAUCUGGUAUUCCAUGCCUGGAGCUCACAAUCCCAGCAUCCCACUCUGCUCCAUUGUGUUAUUUCUUAAUGUGAUACUUGGCACAGCAAAGGAAGUCUGAUGCUGUGGAGGUGAGUUGCAAAGUAGCCAAACCACUCUUCAAUUUACUGGAGCCUGACAUCGGAUGUACUGCCAGUAUUUUUUGUUUAAAAAUGCCAUCAGUUUAACAUUUAACUGAAAAAGUAAUUAUUCUUCAGUUUCACUGAGCUACGAAGGGGGGAAAAUGAUUCAUUGAAACUCCAUGAGAUGAAAUAGCUUGUUUUAAGGACCUUUUGGAAGGAUUUCAAUAUUCUGAGCAAAGAAAUAGAAAUUCAUUUUUUAGAAAGAGAUUUAGGAACCUCCCUGAAAAGGAAGUGAGAGAAUUAAUCUAAAUCUCAGACAAAAUUGUCUAGGGUUAAAAAAAAACUUGGCAAAUGCAAUUAGAACAAGAUAAACUUACAUAUUACCAGAUAUGCAAUGCCUGUAACUACUAUAGAAUCCCUAAACAUACUAACAUACAACCAUAUUGUUAAUUCAAAUUUUAAAAAAAGUAAAUCUUAAAUAAUGCCAUAGUAUAAAAUGAUGUAAAUGAUGCAAAUAACUAAUGGUCUGAACAAUUUGUAAUAACUACUCUGUACAAAAUGGGAUUAUGGGUAUUAGAAGGUAACUGGAAAAGUCAGGAGAAACUGCGAAGGUAACAAAGGACAAUUUCUGUUUCCCAUGAAUUAAACAAUAAUAAUGCAAACUAAUCCAAUGGUUGAUAAAUAUAUUGUUUGUCAAACUGAUAGGAAAGCAUAUAGGUACAAUGAUUUCCUGAUUUCUGAUUUUUUUCAACUAUUUACAACUUAAAUGAAUCUUUUGGACUAGCUUACCUCAGAGAGGUUUAAAUCAAUAAUAUGAACAAUGUCACUCAAUUAGUUAAAUAUAGGGAAUGGGGCUUAAAUUUUGAACCACUUGACUCCAGGUGCAUCACUGUAUUCAGUAUAGAGUUCUGCUUCUUAAACAUAUGAUUAAUAACAAAUUAAUAUAACUCCAAAUUCCCUCCUAAUAGUUAUUGGGUCAGAAGAUAUAGGUAUAAAGAGAUUCCUGUGGAGCUAAUUAGCCCAAUGAAAUUUCUUGGAGUUGAGAGCUGGACAGCUACAUUCUAAAUUAUUAUAUGUAUAACUAUACCUUUUGAUGUUAACAUUCCCCUCACCAUUUAAUUGAAACUGUUGCAUGCUCAUCUUUUGUAAUUGUGCAUUACCUGAUAAUCUGGAGAAGUGUAUUUUAAAUAGCUAACUGGGAAGCCACUAAGUGGAUCACAUUACUAUAUUAUUUCCUCCUUCCAUUGGCCAUUGUGGCUGCUUGGAAACUAAUUAAAUUUAAAUGUUUAACUGCCAUAAAAGUUAAUGUAAUAAUCUGUUGAAAAUAAUUGCAGCCGGGAAUUUUUAAUUUAAAAUUCUGGAAAGCUGUCAUCAAAUUAGCACCGAAGUAUGUGUUCUAUUUAAUGUAACAUACAUAAUUUCAGUUUUCAUUUGCUGAUAAACACAUGGAAAAUAAAAGAGGAACAUAUUUCACAAGAUGAUGUGCAGCAGGAAGUUUAAUUGGCAGGGUGGGAGCCCAAGGUUUAUGAGUAACAGAUAACUGAUGCAUUUUUGACUUCUAUGAAGAGAGGUUUGUUUUCUGUGUUCUUUUAAUAGCUACUAAUUACACUGAGAUUAUGCAAAAUAAGAAACUGAAGCAUUAAACUAGAAAAUGGAAAACAAGAGCAUCCAAAUAGCUUCCAGUAGUUACCUCAUGCUAACUAUUAGAAUGGAAAUCAAAUUUGUGGGAAAACAACAAAAGUGACAACAUACUUUGUUUUCAUCUUACCUUUCUACAUAUCUCCCUCUUUUCUUUGCUUCAUGAAUGCAUAUUCAUGAAUCUACCCUCCAUCCCUUCAAGAUCCAUCCUGGUGCUAUUGGGUUUUGUUUUUGUUACUAACAGUCUAGGAAAUAUUGAUGCAUAAGCCUUUGGAAUUAUAAAUGGCAGUGGCUGUGCCAAUCUACAUUAGUAGAGAACAUUUCCUUACACGGAAUUAUCUAUGCUAGCAAUAUCACAGGUUACAUGAAAAGAAAAAAAAAUAUGAUGAAGUCUGUGUCUGUGUUUGUAUGUUUUCAUUUUGUGGUAGAGUGAUAAUUUUUAUAUCAUGUCACUUGUAUUUGACUGUUAAAUACAUUUAAAUACUUUCUAUAUAGUCCAAUUGAUACUGAUUAAUUGAAAUGCCUAAAUUCUUCAUAGAAUGGUGAUGUACCCAGUGCAAUCCCUGAAAAGUAGGACUUAAUCAUAGAAACCAAAAAAGCCUAUUCCUCAUAAUAUCAGUUCAUCUUGCAUUAUCAUUGUGCAACUGUCUCUGGGCUAAAUUGACCUUCAAAAUCUCAUAGUGGUGCUAUGAUGAAAUCUAAGGGUCCCCCAAUACCCAUACUGUGAAUUUCAAAACUACUCCACCCUAUUCAGACCAUUCUUUAGAAGAUGGGAUUUAGCUAUUUCCUGAUCAAUAACAAUUGAGAUACUUGUAAUAACAGAAUCAGGUCUUGGAAACUACAAUCUCCACCCUACUCAAUGUAACAAGAUCAGCAAGGGCUACAGCAAAACUCAAGAUUUAAUUAUUUGAGAAUAUGGCCUUCAACAGACAUGUGCAAAAAGGACAGACCUCUGGGCAGUCCUGGGUGAAGCUAGAGCCACCAUUGGCACAUGUCAGACCCAGGAAGUGAGGUAGAGGUCAGCUCAGGAGUUCUGGGGACUUCCUGUGUGGAAGGAAAAAGGUUGUUGGAGCCUGGUGCUUGAGGUGGAGGAGCCCACAGACUGUUUCUCCAUCUUGGUCACUUGACAUAAUGGAGGUUCCACUGAGAUCUGAAGUCCCGGCUGCCUGAGCCCUCCUGCUAACCAGGACCCCGAGACUUGAGGUACCUCACACAAUCCGUUUGAGAUUGGGUCAGGAGUCCAGUUAGCAAGGGCCAGGGGAAGUGGCUCUUGGAGGAUCAGAGGGAACUGGCUUAUAGAAGGGAAGGAGAAAGUGAAGAGGAAGAAAUUAAAGGAAAAAUCAGGAGCUUGACAAUUCCUUGAGAGUUGAAGAAAAUGUUGAGAGUUGAAGAAACUUGGGAAUGGAAAAGUCUGAGGAAAUUUAGAAGUAACCAAGAGACAAAAGAAUCUUCAUGCAAUCUUCUUAGUAAAUAUAAUAAGACAUGGAAUAUAAGGAGACCCAGUAGGUAUGAUUUGAAAAUCUUUAAUUCUUUAAUUAUCCUAAGUAUUUUAAGUAACAAGAAGAAACAUUUUAAUUAUUACCUUUUGUAUUAAUAAUGUUAUUAACUGUUAUUUUUCCUUGAUUACUUUAAGUAUAUUAAGUACUUUAGAUAUCUCUUGUUCUAUAGAAAUCAUAAGUAUUCUAGUUACUCUUUAACUAUGCAGUUGUGAUUAGUUU